UCGGGAAUUUUGGGCAAUGGGCGAAAGCCUGAUCCAGCCAUGCCGCGUGCAGGAUGAAGGCCUUCGGGUUGUAAACUGCUUUUGUACGGAACGAAAAGACUCCUUCUAAUAAAGGGGGUCCAUGACGGUACCGUAAGAAUAAGCACCGGCUAACUACGUGCCAGCAGCCGCGGUAAUACGUAGGGUGCAAGCGUUAAUCGGAAUUACUGGGCGUAAAGCGUGCGCAGGCGGUUAUAUAAGACAGAUGUGAAAUCCCCGGGCUCAACCUGGGAACUGCAUUUGUGACUGUAUAGCUAGAGUACGGUAGAGGGGGAUGGAAUUCCGCGUGUAGCAGUGAAAUGCGUAGAUAUGCGGAGGAACACCGAUGGCGAAGGCAAUCCCCUGGACCUGUACUGACGCUCAUGCACGAAAGCGUGGGGAGCAAACAGGAUUAGAUACCCAAGUAGUCCCUGAGCGGGCUGGCAAGGCGCAU
rnacentral:rRNA from 1 species